UCCGGCUUCUCGCCGGCAGUCUCCUUUGAGUCCCCGACAUUACUCGCUGGCAACAUAAGAUAGGGGUUGCGCUCGUUGCGGGACUUAACCCAACACCUCACGGCACGAGCUGACGACAACCAUGCACCACCUGUGCAUGCUCCCCUUGCGGGGUCGUCCCACUUUCAUGGUUCUACCACAUGCAUGUCAAGGCCAGGUAAGGUUCUUCGCGUUGCAUCGAAUUAAGCCACAUACUCCACCGCUUGUGCAGGCCCCCGUCAAUUUCUUUGGGUUUUAAUCUUGCGACCGUACUUCCCAGGCGGCGCAUUUAUCGCGUUAGCUUCGCCACAAACGGGGUCGAUUCCGUUUACAGCAAAUGCGCACCGUUUACAGCCGGGACUAC
rnacentral:misc_RNA from 1 species